ncrna:unclassified sequences DTF805b RNA
AUGGAAGUAGCCGAAAAUCCAACAAAGAGUAGGCA